rnacentral:lncRNA from 1 species
UUUGGAACAACUUUUGUUUUCACACAAAUUUGACUCCAGUUCAAAUUUCGGCUGAAUUUCACAAAGUCCAGAAAAGAGGGGAUAAGGGUCUCCUACAGUGACCCGAUAGGGAUCACCGGCUCCCUGUCCAGCACGGCCGCCGCGCGCGCAGCGCCGCGUGCGCGCGCGCAGGCACGCAGCCUGCCUGCCUGCUAGCGUCGCCAGGCGACGUGGAUGCCUCGGACUUGCUUUCCCCUCCACUUGAGCGCAGCGUGGACGACGCCGUGCACUCCCUCCGUCCUGAGCCAAGGAACCCGACGAGCCCUU